GUUACCCUACGGGGCGCAGCAGUGAGGGAUAUUGGUCAAUGGGGGAAACCCUGAACCAGCAACGCCGCGUGAGGGAAGACGGUUUUCGGAUUGUAAACCUCUGUCCUCUGUGAAGAUAAUGACGGUAGCAGAGGAGGAAGCUCCGGCUAACUACGUGCCAGCAGCCGCGGUAAUACGUAGGAUGCGAGCGUUAUCCGGAUUUAUUGGGUUUAAAGGGUGCGUAGGCGGAAUGCCAAGUCAGCGGUAAAAUCGCGGGGCUCAACCUCGCUCCGCCGUUGAAACUGGCGUUCUUGAGUGGGCGAGAA
rnacentral:rRNA from 1 species